CGGUCAACCGAACCCGCACCCGCACGCCUCUCGCUCGCGCUCACCGCCACCUCGCGCGCGCUCCCGCACCACCGCGCCCGCACGUCGGCACCGCUCCCUGCCAACGUAACCGUGUCGCACUCGGCGCUCCCGCAUCCGCUCCAAUGCCACGGCGCCCCGCACGCUACCGCCGCUCCCGCAUCCGCCCCCGUCGGCCGCCCCGCCGCUCAACCCCCGCCGGUCGCCCGGUCACUGAGCCCCCGCCGGCUGUCCCGCCACUUCGCCCCGCUGGCCGUCUUGCCGCUCAACCCUCAUUGGCCACCCUGCAGAGGCCAGGCGGCGCGGCGGCGACGAUCUCCGUCCAGAUCCGGUCGAGGAGGCGUGGCAGGGGGCGGAUCUUGUUGCGCGUACGGCGUGGAGGCGAUCUAGGACACGCGGGAGGAGGCCCAGCGGAGGGGCUUGAACUCCAAGUUCAUGGCGGCGUUCUUUGCCGGUUCCGAGCCAGAUGGUGAGCCCAGCCCAAACUCACACGCCAACCACCUUCCUCACGGCCGCUACCACGCCAACUCCAACGCAACACCCGCGCACCGGCUAGCCAAGCUCAGCCUCCCCAGCAUCCGCAGGCGCCUCGCCGAUCCAGCUUUGGCUCUACGGCUUGCCAGUGCAGCACUACUGUCGGGGAUGGUGCGGACGCCGACAACAAGCACUUACUAGGAAAAUUACAGAUGCAGUAUGAGGGGAGUGGUGAAGCCGGAGGGGCUAAGGUGCCCUCAACAUGGGUGCUCAAUGGCGCUUUAUAGAGCAGGAGGAAUAUCUCCUGGUGGAGCUUGGCACAAGCGAGACACUCGGAUGUAACUUCAGUACAGCAGUGCAUUGUUUUUUUUGUAAUUUGUUUUGGGUUGCAGGAGCUUCAAGACAACAAGAUGCAGCAGGCUUCAUGGUCAGUAGUACAUUGAUAUUUGUUUUGUGCUCCAGGAGCUUCUAGACAAACGGGCAACACACUUCAAGGCAACAAUUUUUUCUAUGAUUACAACUCUGGAAUAAUUUGGCCCCUUAUUUCUAAUACCUUUGUGAAAGAAGAGUAAUUGUUUAAUAUGGUCUAUGAGUGUUGGCAAAUUUGAUUGCAGGCUUGCAGCAGGGACUGACAAAGUUAGUGCAGUCCUCACCAUUUCAUAUAUAUUUCAGGGUAAAAUUAGACAUCAAGAACAUGACCAGGCUGGAGCUUCAUGCAACAUUGGAUGUGAGAAGGUACAGUUUCAGUACAAUAUCUUUCAUGAUAAGUGCACCAUAUUUUGUAAAGGAAUGAAGACGGUUUAUUUCAAUGUAUACAGGUCUGCUGGUGCAAUGGAGAGAAGCUACCAUACUACUGUAUCUCUGUGUUGCUGGUGCAAAUAGUGUGAGUUCUUCUAGAGGAAUCUACUGCAAGAUAGAUGUUAAUUUCUAAUGAUGUUCAUAUUCCUGAAUUAUGGUGAAUGGCCGAGUUAGUGUCAUAUUUAUUAUAUGACAAUGCACUUAGGGAUCACCAUGCUAAUUCAAGCUUUCGUCCAUAAAGCAAGCUAUGUAUGUAAAGAGAUUCCUGGAAAUUCCUACACAUAUUUGGAUAAAUAUGCUUUUUUGGCUUCUUUA